rnacentral:rRNA from 2 species
AGACCCGAAACCCGGUGAUCUAGCCAUGGGCAGGUUGAAGGUUGGGUAACACUAACUGGAGGACCGAACCGACUAAUGUUGAAAAAUUAGCGGAUGACCUGUGGCUGGGGGUGAAAGGCCAAUCAAACCGGGAGAUAGCUGGUUCUCCCCGAAAGCUAUUUAGGUAGCGCCUCGUGAAUUCAUCUCCGGGGGUAGAGCACUGUUUCGGCUAGGGGGCCAUCCCGGCUUACCAACCCGAUGCAAACUGCGAAUACCGGAGAAUGUUAUCACGGGAGACACACGGCGGGUGCUAACGUCCGUCGUGAAGAGGGAAACAACCCAGACCGCCAGCUAAGGUCCCAAAGUCAUGGUUAAGUGGGAAACGAUGUGGGAAGGCCCAGACAGCCAGGAUGUUGGCUUAGAAGCAGCCAUCAUUUAAAGAAAGCGUAAUAGCUCACUGGUCGAGUCGGCCUGCGCGGAAGAUGUAACGGGGCUAAACCAUGCACCGAAGCUGCGGCAGCGAACGUAUCACUUAAAGCGAUUCAGCGGGUUACGAUUGACGGAGCGAAGCGACGUCAAAGCGUAUACAAAGUCGAGUCGGUUUAAGGAUACGUUCGUUGGGUAGGGGAGCGUUCUGUAAGCCUGCGAAGGUGGCCUGUGAGGGUUGCUGGAGGUAUCAGAAGUGCGAAUGCUGACAUAAGUAACGAUAAAGCGGGUGAAAAGCCCGCUCGCCGGAAGACCAAGGGUUCCUGUCCAACGUUAAUCGGGGCAGGGUGAGUCGACCCCUAAGGCGAGGCCGAAAGGCGUAGUCGAUGGGAAACGGGUUAAUAUUCCCGUACUUGGUGUUACUGCGAAGGGGGGACGGAGAAGGCUAUGUUGGCCGGGCGACGGUUGUCCCGGUUUAAGCGUGUAGGCUGGUUUUCCAGGCAAAUCCGGAAAAUCAAGGCUGAGGCGUGACGACGAGGCACUACGGUGCUGAAGCAACAAAUGCCCUGCUUCCAGGAAAAGCCUCUAAGCAUCAGGUAACACGAAAUCGUACCCCAAACCGACACAGGUGGUCAGGUAGAGAAUACCAAGGCGCUUGAGAGAACUCGGGUGAAGGAACUAGGCAAAAUGGUGCCGUAACUUCGGGAGAAGGCACGCUGACACGUAGGUGAAGUGAUUUACUCAUGGAGCUGAAGUCAGUCGAAGAUACCAGCUGGCUGCAACUGUUUAUUAAAAACACAGCACUGUGCAAACACGAAAGUGGACGUAUACGGUGUGACGCCUGCCCGGUGCCGGAAGGUUAAUUGAUGGGGUCAGCGCAAGCGAAGCUCCUGAUCGAAGCCCCGGUAAACGGCGGCCGUAACUAUAACGGUCCUAAGGUAGCGAAAUUCCUUGUCGGGUAAGUUCCGACCUGCACGAAUGGCGUAAUGAUGGCCAGGCUGUCUCCACCCGAGACUCAGUGAAAUUGAACUCGCUGUGAAGAUGCAGUGUACCCGCGGCAAGACGGAAAGACCCCGUGAACCUUUACUAUAGCUUGACACUGAACAUUGAGCCUUGAUGUGUAGGAUAGGUGGGAGGCUUUGAAGCGUGGACGCCAGUCUGCGUGGAGCCGACCUUGAAAUACCACCCUUUAAUGUUUGAUGUUCUAACGUGGACCCGUUA